rnacentral:lncRNA from 1 species
GGGGUCAACAAACAUGGGAAAAGUGUUCUCAACCUAACAUGAACCCUUUCCUCACCAGGAAAACUGUUUCUCUCAAGCACACUGGUGUAUAAGGAUGCGUGUUUCUCACUCUUAGCAACACAAAGGUCACACAAUUCAACUUUGCCUUUCAUUUCUACCAUAAUGAAAACAUUUACCUGUAAGUUUGCAUCACAAGGACUUUCAAGGCUUGUAUUUUGGUUGGGCUAAGAAAGAAAAAUUGGUUUUUCUGGACAACAAAGCACCUUGAGCUAAGGAAGCAUUCAAAUCAGCACAAUUCAACAAUUCCACUUCUUAACAUCAAGAAUUUGCAACCAAUUUUCAAUUCUUUUUCCAACUUUUCAUCUAAUGAUUCUUUUUCUUGAUCUUGUUCCUUUUUCUUCUUUUUCUUCACAUUUUUCUUUUUCUUUUCUUGUCAAUUUCUUUUUGUAGCAUCAACCACCCCAAACUUAAACAUUUUCCUUUACCAAAAUGAAUGCUUCACUUCUCUCAAGGUAAAGAGGUUAAAGUUUGCAAUGUUGGUCAAAAGGCUCAAGAAUGGGUUCACUGUCUCUUCCAGG